rnacentral:tRNA from 1 species
ACUUUUAAAGGAAAUUAGCAACCCAUUAGC